ACAUAUAUACAUUUAUGUAGUUCAUUGCCAGAAUCGUUGAAAUAGAUAAAUAUAAAAUUGUUGAUUCUAUACAUAAAUUGUGUAAUACAGAAAAGUGAUGACUAAUACAAAUGUCAUUUCCUAUUAUGUAUUAUACAAUUUAAGGUUAUUCUACUUCGAAAAGAAGGAUUAUCAUAUAUUUAUAAAAAUUUUUUUGAGUAUUUGAAUUAUGCAUUUGAAUAAUAAAACUUAGAUAUUUAUGAAAAAUAAAAAUGAUUUUUAUGAGUCUUUUUUCUCAAAUGAACAAUUAUGAAAAACACAAUAAUCGAUAUUUUCUAUUUUAAUCGAACAUGACACAUUAUAAACACGGAAAUUUCAUACGAUUCGAAAUACACAAUAGAAAACACUUUAUAAAACACCUAUGUCAAUCAAUUAUUACAAUUAAAGAAAUAACUUUUCCUUUCUUCUUGCCAUUCGAAAUGUACAAUUAUUUACGUCAAAUCCUUGAAAAUCCAUAAUAUAAAUAUUAUCAACAAAUCUUACACUACAAAAACACUUUUCACGUAUAAUAAAGUUUCACAAUUGCAAUUCCUUUCAUUAUAAAACACUUCUAUCAAUCCUCAUUUUCAAUCAGUGAAAAUUUUGUGCGUGAUUCUCAUAACCUCAAAAAACAAACUUCACUAAAAAUUCGCUCUAUUUUCGUGGCUUAUAUUUUACGGCUACGUGUAAGCCUACUCAACAUUGUUGACAUUGAAACGAAGUAUAAGCAGCGAAUUGAAGCAGUUGGACUGCGGCCAUUUUAACGGAAACGAUUCUUUCAUCUCGAUUCACCCUACAUCUCUACAUUGCGAUAUAUCGAUCUUUUUCUUCUCUUUUUCUCUUUUUUCUUUUUUUUUUACACUUUUCCAACGACUAAAUUCUUGUAAAAGUGAUAGAAUCAGACGAUAGCAAUUGAUGAUUAUUAUCACGGCGCAUCGAUGGCGGAAAUAUUAAGACGACGAUCGAAUAUUUGGCGCGAAUCCACCGAUCGCGUGCCAACAUAAUACGCGCGCGCGUGUGCACGAUAUGCGAACUUAAGGAAAAUUACAGGCUGUGCCUUGUCGAUCCGCGAUUUACACGCUUUAGUUUCGCUUUAUGCCUGACAGAGUCUUCUACUAUACGCCUCGUUCUUUCUUUUUAUCACUUUCGUUCGAAUAUAUUAAAAAAAUCCUCCUUUUUUUUCUUACGAAGGAAGAAAAGUGAUUGGUCGAUCAUAUCGGUAAAUUAAUUUCGUUUGAGUUCGUAUACGAUUCACCGACCGGAAUAAUAGAAUUGUCGUCGAGGAAGAAGUUAACUUUGAAAGGGAGAGAAUCUCAAAAAAAAAAAAAAAAAAAAGAAA